ACAGGCUUAACACAUGCAAGUCGAGGGGCAUCAGGAAGAAAGCUUGCUUUCUUUGCUGGCGACCGGCGCACGGGUGAGUAACACGUAUCCAACCUGCCCUUUACUCGGGGAUAGCCUUUCGAAAGAAAGAUUAAUACCCGAUAGCAUAAUGAUUCCGCAUGGUUUCAUUAUUAAAGGAUUCCGGUAAAGGAUGGGGAUGCGUUCCAUUAGGUUGUUGGUGAGGUAACGGCCCACCAAGCCUUCGAUGGAUAGGGGUUCUGAGAGGAAGGUCCCCCACAUUGGAACUGAGACACGGUCCAAACUCCUACGGGAGGCAGCAGUGAGGAAUAUUGGUCAAUGGGCGCUAGCCUGAACCAGCCAAGUAGCGUGAAGGAUGAAGGCUCUAUGGGUCGUAAACUUCUUUUAUAUAAGAAUAAAGUGCAGUAUGUAUACUGUUUUGUAUGUAUUAUAUGAAUAAGGAUCGGCUAACUCCGUGCCAGCAGCCGCGGUAAUACGGAGGAUCCGAGCGUUAUCCGGAUUUAUUGGGUUUAAAGGGAGCGUAGGCGGACUGGUAAGUCAGUUGUGAAAGUUUGCGGCUCAACCGUAAAAUUGCAGUUGAUACUGUCAGUCUUGAGUACAGUAGAGGUGGGCGGAAUUCGUGGUGUAGCGGUGAAAUGCUUAGAUAUCACGAAGAACUCCGAUUGCGAAGGCAGCUCACUGGACUGCAACUGACACCGAUGCUCGAAAGUGUGGGUAUCAAACAGGAUUAGAUACCCUGGUAGUCCACACAGUAAACGAUGAAUACUCGCUGUUUGCGAUAUACAGUAAGCGGCCAAGCGAAAGCAUUAAGUAUUCCACCUGGGGAGUACGCCGGCAACGGUGAAACUCAAAGGAAUUGACGGGGGCCCGCACAAGCGGAGGAACAUGUGGUUUAAUUCGAUGAUACGCGAGGAACCUUACCCGGGCUUAAAUUGCAGUGGAAUGAUGUGGAAACAUGUCAGUGAGCAAUCACCGCUGUGAAGGUGCUGCAUGGUUGUCGUCAGCUCGUGCCGUGAGGUGUCGGCUUAAGUGCCAUAACGAGCGCAACCCUUAUCUUCAGUUACUAACAGGUCAUGCUGAGGACUCUGGAGAGACUGCCGUCGUAAGAUGUGAGGAAGGUGGGGAUGACGUCAAAUCAGCACGGCCCUUACGUCCGGGGCUACACACGUGUUACAAUGGGGGGUACAGAAGGCAGCUAGCGGGUGACCGUAUGCUAAUCCCAAAAGCCUCUCUCAGUUCGGAUCGAAGUCUGCAACCCGACUUCGUGAAGCUGGAUUCGCUAGUAAUCGCGCAUCAGCCACGGCGCGGUGAAUACGUUCCCGGGCCUUGUACACACCGCCCGUCAAGCCAUGGGAGCCGGGGGUACCUGAAGUACGUAACCGCAAGGAUCGUCCUAGGGUAAAACUGGUGACUGGGGCUAAGUAG
rnacentral:rRNA from 1 species